UACGUAGGGUGCGAGCGUUAAUCGGAAUUACUGGGCGUAAAGCGUGCGCAGGCGGUUUUGUAAGCCAGGUGUGAAAUCCCCGGGCUCAACCUGGGAAUGGCAUUUGGGACUGCAAGGCUGGAGUGCGGCAGAGGAGACUGGAAUUCCUGGUGUAGCAGUGAAAUGCGUAGAUAUCAGGAGGAACACCGAUGGCGAAGGCAGGUCUCUGGGCUGACACUGACGCUCAUGCACGAAAGCGUGGGGAG
rnacentral:rRNA from 1 species